UGAGUACAAGAUGCUACGGCAUUGAAGCAGUCUAUGUCAUACUUCCAAGAAAAGCUUGCAAUGUCAUAAACAAAUAAUGCCUGUACCAUAACCGACACAGGUGGGUAGGUAGAGUAUACUAAGGGGCGCGAGAUAACUCUCUCUAAGGAACUCGGCAAAAUGACUCCGUAACUUCGGGAGAAGGAGUACCUUAUUUUAUAAGGUCGCAAUAACAAGGUCCAAGCAACUGUUUACCAAAAACACAGGUCUCCGCUAAGUCGUAAGACGAUGUAUGGGGGCUGACGCUUGCCCAGUGCCAGAAGGUUAAAGAAGUUGGUUAGCAUUAGCGAAGCUGAUAACUGAAGCCCUGGUGAACGGCGGCCGUAACGAUAACGGUCCUAAGGUAGCGAAAUUCCUUGUCGGGUAAGUUCCGACCCGCACGAAAGGCGUAAUGAUUUGGAUACUGUCUCGGAGAGGGGCUCGGUGAAAUAGACUUGUCUGUGAAGAUGCGGACUACCUGCACCUGGACAGAAAGACCCUAUGAAGCUUUACUGUAACUUGAGAUUGAAAUUGGACUUUAUUUGCGCAGUAUAGGUGGGAGACCUCGAAAGUAUUCUUGCGGGAAUAUUGGAGUCAUCAGUGAGAUACCACUCUUAUAAUGUUAGAUUUCUAACUUUGUAUCAUUAUCUGGUCAGAGAACAGUUUCAGGCGGGCAGUUUGACUGGGGCGGUCGCCUCCCAAAUGGUAACGGAGGCGCACAAAGGUUUCCUCUGAACGUGUAGAAAUCGUAUCUAGAGUGUAAAGGCAUAAGGAAGCUUGACUGUGAGACCUACAAGUCGAGCAGGGACGAAAGUCGGUCUUAGUGAUCUGACGGUGCUGAGUGGAAAGGCCGUCACUCAACGGAUAAAAGUUACUCUAAGGAUAACAGGCUGAUCUCCCCCAAGAGUUCACAUCGACGGGGAGGUUUGGCACCUGGAUGUCGGCUCAUCGCAUCCUGGGGCGGUAGUACGUCCCAAGGGUUGGGCUGUUCGCCCAUGAAAGCGGUACGCGAGCUGGGUUCAGAACGUCGUGAGACAGUUCGGUCCAUAUCCGGUGUAGGCGUUAGAAUAUUGAGAGGAGCCUUCUUUAGUACGAGAGGACCGAGAAGGACAUACCUCUGGUGUACCAGUUAUCGUGCCAACGGUAAACUCUGGGUAGCUAUGUAUGGAGAGGAUAACCGCUGAAAGCAUCUAAGUGGGAAGCCCACCUCAAGAUAAG
rnacentral:rRNA from 1 species